rnacentral:tmRNA from 2 species
GGGCUUGACUGGAAUUGACAGCGAGUUGGAAUGGUAUGUAAGCAUGCAGUGGGUCGGUAAUUUCCACUUAAAUCUCAGUUAUCAAAAUUUUAUCUGGCAACGAAAAUUAUGCUCUCGCUGCUUAAUCGAAGUAUAGUAGAUUAGCUUUAUUUCUGCCAAAGUGGUGGAAACGAGAUGUCGCUCAAAAGCUCUUGCUCCGAAGCGUUUGAUAAAGCGGCACAGCAAAAUCGGGGAUAGUUUGAGUUCUUCUCCAUAGCUCUUACGAAAUAUUAGGGGAUAAGGCAUAGGUUGGUGGCUUUGGUCUUGCUUAUGCUCGAAAACCGAAGGCAAAGAUAAGCAUGUAGAAAGCAUAUGGUUUCCUCGUUUGGACGGGAGUUCGAUUCUCCCCAGGUCCACUU